rnacentral:rRNA from 1 species
AUUGAACGCUGGCGGCAGGCUUAACACAUGCAAGUCGAGCGGGGUGAUGGUGCUUGCACUAUCACUUAGCGGCGGACGGGUGAGUAAUGCUUAGGAAUCUGCCUAUUAGUGGGGGACAACAUCUCGAAAGGGAUGCUAAUACCGCAUACGCCCUACGGGAGAAAGCAGGGGAUCACUUGUGACCUUGCGCUAAUAGAUGAGCCUAAGUCGGAUUAGCUAGUUGGUGGGGUAAAGGCCUACCAAGGCGACGAUCUGUAGCGGGUCUGAGAGGAUGAACCGCCACACUGGGACUGAGACACGGCCCAGACUCCUACGGGAGGCAGCAGUGGGGAAUAUUGGACAAUGGGGGGAACCCUGAUCCAGCCAUGCCGCGUGUGUGAAGAAGGCCUUAUGGUUGUAAAGCACUUUAAGCGAGGAGGAGGCCCUUUUGGUUAAUACCCAAGAUGAGUGGACGUUACUCGCAGAAUAAGCACCGGCUAACUCUGUGCCAGCAGCCGCCGUAA